rnacentral:lncRNA from 1 species
UAACACCUUCACCUUUGGAUAAAAUCACCUCUCAAACAGUAACCACAGUUUGAAACUAGCCUCAUGCUUGCAAUAUGAUGCAUGAUUUUUUUUUUCUGCGUAAUGCUCCAUAAUCAUGGAAAUGCUACGCGCUUUAUUAUUUUUCUAUGCAACAUGCUAUGCGAUUUUUUUCAUGAUGAAUGCAUAAAAACGUCCCCCUCCAGGGGCUCUUCUGAGUAGCUCGAGACAUUCUGCUGAGGAACUCAUCAAUACUCCAAUCUCC